ACUGAAAUCGCUUAGUAGCUAGCUACUUAGCUAGUGGGGGUGAUUAUGCUAACAGCUCGGCUAACGUUAAUUAAUUGUGAUGAAGGCACCUGUUGGACAAGAUGCUUCAAGUCAGAUAUCGCCGUUUGUGACCAGAAAUGCCUCUUGGUGCCUGAGACCUUCAACACAAGCCGUCUCCAGGACUAAAACCGAACUCUCCUCAGGGCUGCGCAUCAGGGUGAUGUUGAUGUCAUCAACUGCAGAUCGAACACAAUGUCGGGCGCAACAUGAAACGGCCAUGGCAACAAGUUACCUUUCACCCUCCACUCUGCUUUCGAAGCACAUGUCACAGCAGGCGAGAGUUCAUGGAUGCACAGAACAGGGCGGUUGUUCCACUCAGGUCUUAAUGAGAAGAGUUGAAGAGAGAGCCGGAUGUUGUUUUCUGAUGCCGGCUUAUCCAACAGAAUAAAUCACCGAAUCCAGAAUCACAGAUAUGGUAAACAUCCCAUUACAAACGUCACUAAGUCUCUGAUUGUGCGGUCAGGCAAAGCUCCAACUGGCCCAGAGCAUCAGCAGCGUACCGGCAUACGAGGCCAGAACCAACAGAUAAAAGCGAAACAGGAAACGGUCAAGCUUGGAGCAGAGGGCAAGCCAUUCAGCCUGAGCCGAAGACUCAUUGUCCUCCUGGGACAAAGCCAGGCGGAGGGAAACCAGCUCCUGGAGAAGCCACUCCAGCCCAGAUGGAGCAUCCUGGAUCUCAUUCAGGGACAGCAGGUCCUCCUCCACUGAGGGCUCAAGCUCAUAAUCUAUAAGAAGAUCAAAAAUUUAAUUUUAAAAUGCAAACGAUUAGUAUUGAUUCAUUCAGUUUCUAUAAAUUAAAUGUGGACAAUUAAAACCAAUCAUUAUGGAAAGGACGAUUGUAUUAUUAUUCAUGACAUCAGUAUUGCUAUACUUUCAAAAAAGCUCAGUUUCCAAACACUUUGAUACAGACUGUUGUUGAUCUCAGCUGGUCAUAGAACAGCUCUUCCUCAUCUUUUAUCAUUAUUAAUAGAAAGCUUUCUGAUGGGAGAUUAAAAGAA